rnacentral:rRNA from 1 species
AGUGAACGCUGGCGGCAGGCCUAACACAUGCAAGUCGAGCGGCAGCACGGGUAGCAAUACCUGGUGGCGAGCGGCGGACGGGUGAGGAAUACAUCGGAAUCUGCCUCGUCGUGGGGGAUA